rnacentral:rRNA from 1 species
ACUCAAAGGAAUAGACGGGGGCCCGCACAAGCGGUGGAGCAUGUGGCUUAAUUCGUCACUAACCGAAGAACCUUACCAGGGUUUGACAUCCACUGUAAGUCCAUGAAAGUGGUACCCUCUGCAGCAAUGCAGACCGUGAGACAGGUGUUGCAUGGCUGUCGUCAGCUCGUGUCGUGAGAUGUUGGGUUAAGUCCCGCAACGAGCGCAACCCUCAUCAGAUGUUGCCAGCGUAAAGUCGGGAACUCUUCUGAAACUGCCCGUGUAAGCGGGAGGAAGGUGGGGAUGACGUCAAGUCGGCAUGGCCCUUACACCCUGGGCUGCACACAUGCUACAAUGGCCGUUAACAAAGGGAAGCAAUGCGGUGACGCGGAGCUAAUCUCAGAAAUACGGUCUCAGUUCGGAUUGUAGUCUGCAACUCGACUACAUGAAGUCGGAAUCGCUAGUAACCGCAGGUCAGCUAAACUGCGGUGAAUACGUUCCCGGGCCUUGCACACACCGCCCGU